rnacentral:tRNA from 1 species
UUUUAUCUAGUUUAAUUGAAAAUGUUGGCUUGUCAAGUCAGCGAUGGAGGCUAAUCUCCGAUAUAAG